rnacentral:rRNA from 1 species
GACGAACGCUGGCGGCGUGCUUAACACAUGCAAGUCGAACGAAGUGGCGAACGGGUGAGUAACGCGUAAUCAACCUGACCUUCAGAGGGGGACAACAGUUGGAAACGAAUGCUAAUACCGAAUAAUGAAGGAGGGGCUUGUGUUUGAUUAGCUAGUUGGAGGGGUAACGGCCCACCAAGGCGAAGAUCAGUAGCCGGUCUGAGAGGAUGAACGGCCACAUUGGGACUGAGACACGGCCCAGACUCCUACGGGAGGCAGCAGUUGGGAAUCUUCCGCAAUGGAGGAAAGUCUGACGGAGCAACGCCGCGUGAGUGAUGACGGCCUUCGGGUUGUAAAGCUCUGUUAAUCGGGACGCGGUACCGGAAUAGAAAGCCACGGCUAACUACGUGCCAGCAGCCGCGGUAAUUC